GCCUCCCCGCCUGACAGCAAACCUGCUUGUUGGCACUUGCGCGUUCCUCCUCGCCAGUUUCACCCCGGAUUUGGCUCCGUCCACUAGCAACCCAGCUCCCGGCUAAACUCCCAGCCCUAAGCAGGGGCCUUGACCCAGCAUUCCCAAUGACUCCUGCUUUUCCAGAGGCGACACCCUUCUUGGAAACAGACUCGCCGGACACCGCUGGUUAGGGCGGCGGGUGCCUGGGUCCCCGGCCAAGACCUUAGAUGGUGCCCCUCUGCCACGCCACGGUCUUUGACCUGGCCCAAACCCCUAACUCAGCCGGGGAGCCGGAUGGCUUCCCACCGGUAGGGUACCCAGCCCUCCCUAACACCGCGCGCCAGGAAAAACGGGUGGAAGCGGGGAAGCCCACCUCAAGACGGGGAUCCCACGGGCCUACCUCCUCCAGAAAGCCGCGGCGGGCCAACUCACCUCGGGGAAGCAGUCCUUGGCGAAGACAUGGAGCAGCGCAGUUUUUCCACACUGACUGUCUCCCACCACAACUAUCUUGCAUUUCACGUUCUGAUUAGGAUCCAUGAUAGAUUUGCUGGAUAAUUUCUGGCUGGCUCUUCUCUCCUUCAUUGAUGUUGCCUUAUUUUCUCUUGGAACAGGAAUUUUCUCUUAUGAAGAAAAAUUAUAUAUAUGUUUAUAUGUCUUUCGUUAUAAAAAUAAAUCGCAAGGCUGAUGGAAAACCCCUGAAGCGCGGCGCAGACGAGGAGGAGAGCUAGCGGAGCCGGCUCGUUACUCCCCUCCAACAAGUUUUCUGUCUGACUCCUCACCGGGCCUCCCAAGUCCAAUUCCGAUCCGACUGCUUUGUUUCACGCUCUCUGCGCGGCUUUAUACUCCCGGCCUUCCAAUCCUCUGCUUUCUCAAUGAGAGGAGGAAACUGAUCUGCCUCCUCCCCUUUUGUGGAGCCUGGGAGUGAGCGCUCUGCGUUGUUUGCAGAAAAUGUAAGCAGUGCGCCCUCUAGGGUGCCCGUUCAGGAUCUAUUUCAGACCAAGGCUCUGGGACAACUUCAAGACCUCAAAGAUGUUUUGCUGACAAGUCCAACAGGGCAAGGUGGGAAACCGAUAUCUAUGCAUAUCGAUUUGAACUACAAUCCCUUUAAAUACAUUUUAAUAGGGUCUUAUGUCUAGAAGCCUCAUAAGCAUUUAUGAAAACAAAAACAUUUCCCACCCUAAAGCACAGUUAUAAAACAUAGGAAGCAAAUCUUGGGCACAGAAGAGUUAAGGUUCUGUUUUUUCUAAUGAUUUGUGUCAAGUACAUAGGCCAUGGACCAAUAGAUCAGCCUGUUUAUUCCCGAUGCAAGAACUGGUGUGGCUGGGUCACAGUAGUGGAAUGGCUUCUGAAACCUGUCAGUUUCAGUCAUAAAGGUGGAUGCAGAAAGGUUUUGAGGAGUGGGGACAGGAGGUGGGAGGUGAGAAGAAAAAGAAGUGGAAGAUGCUCAUGACUGAGUGACAAAGGCCAUUGCAGACAGCCCUACUGCACUUGGGACACAAACACUUGUCCGCCGAGUUGCACCUCUCCACAUUUGCAGUGAGGAGACUGCAAAUGGUGAAAGGUGGACAGAUUUUGAUACUGUCUGUUAAUUAUUUAUCUAUAGCCUCCUCCAUCCUCGUGGAAUCAAAGCACCCUAGGCUGAACUCAGAAGGCACAAACACUUUUAGCUGAAAAAUACAGGUACAACCCUCCACUCUCUCUUCUCCCCUCCUCCACAUCUAUUUCCCUAGCCCUCCAACUCUUCACCAAAAGCAAAAGUCUUAGAAAGGACCAGAAUAGUCCACGUAUUUGUUCUUUUUCUAUCAGAAGUCUUUCUUAUUCUCCUCUUCAUCUCGUGCACCCCAAAUGCUCAGGAGGUUUCAGUCAUUACACUGUAGUAGGACAUUGGCUAAAAAUAACUUAUAUGGUCCCCGAUGGAGCCUCCUAGUCUUUUAAAUGAGAUGAAGGUGGGGUGAAAACAAACGAAGCAGAACGUUCAACAUGGGAAGUGAAAAGGCACUGAUGUAAGUAGUGGACUGGUAGGGCCCCUGAAGCGUAGGUGAUCCAAGAAUGAUGUCCUAUUCAGGUCUGAGAAAAUUGGAACCCCCACCAAAAGCAGUGACUCAGACUCCAUCGGUGGGUCUGUGUUUACACAAGUGGAAGGCUGACCCACAGACAAGUAGGUUGCUGGCCCUGCUGGGGUUCCUAGAGCAGCCUUUGCCAAUGUUUGCUCUUCAGAGCUAUAGUGCCUCCUGACACACAGGGUACCAUGGGCCAAUUAGUGAGGGUGAAACUGUGUCCGCAUCACUUGUUGAAGAUUCAGCAAGCACACUGAUACGUUACAAACAUUUAAAAAUCCUAGAGAAAAGCAGCCUAUUUAAUAUAGUUUAACCUAGCAUUUCCCACAGCUACUUAAACACAGCAAACAUUUAUCAAAUUAUUUACAUGUUUGCUUGUUCGUUUACUUGAUUGAGAAGCAAUGGGCAUAGUAGUUGAGGCAGGAUAUCACAAAGAGGUGUAUUUGGGUCCCCAACUUCACAUUUUCCGUAUGACCGUGGAUGGAUUAUUUAGCCUCUCUGAGCCUCAAUUUCACCAUCUGUAAAAUAGGAGUCAUAAUGUAAUUAUGAGGAAAUGCAAGUGAUGUAUGCAGAACAGUUUCUGGCACAAUAAAGAGUCCUUGACCUCUGUUAUAGUUUGCAUGUAAAAUCUUAUUUGCACUUCUCAUGACUGUUGAACGUGUCUUGAGAAAUUCCGGCUUCAUUAGUGGACUCACUAAUUGGCGCUGGGUCCAUCCCAUCUUUUGUCUUAUUUUUAAUUUCUUAAGUUACCCCUUUCCAGAGAUAUGAUUUGACCUUCCAUAUUCCUGAAUUUAUGUAGCUUAUAUGGUUAAAUCACUCUAACUAGAAAUAAUUAAGAGUGUUUAUGAAUUGGCUGAUCAAUGAAUAGGGUAACCAUAUAAUUUAUCAUCUAAGCUGGGAUACUUUUGAGAGUAAAAAGAGGCACUACCAGUGAUUAUGGCUAGACAACAUGGGUAAACAGGGUCUAUCCCAGGCAAAGCAAGAUGCAUAAUCACUUCACCAUAGAAUCAUCUGGAAUCAUAGUGGAUGACUAUUUUUGGAAAUCAGGUGACCUGAAUUUCCAGGAAUCUGCCAGUUGCUGAGCAAAAUUUAAUGGAUGUCUAAUAGAAGAGAAAAACCAACUGUCUGAAGUCACCAGGUUUUGAAUCCGUCUAGGGUAAGAAUUCUUCCUUUUCCUUUUUAAAAUCUUUAGUGUUUAGUGUGAAGUGGAUACUUAAUAUAUUUUAAAAUUCAUCUAACUUUUAGUUUAACAAUUAUUUAUUCAGCAUCUGCUGUAAACCACGCACUGUUCUAGGAACUGCAGAUAUAGCAGUAAACAAGGCAGACUUGUUUGCUACUCUCACAAAGCUUACAUUCCAGCCAGGAGAUAAAAAGUAAAUGAAGACCUAAGAUCAUCCUGUGUUUUCUUCAUAUAAAACAUGGUUAAAAGAUGAUUAAAGUAUAGUAGGGUAGGGAUCAGACCCAUGGUCCAGCAGAAAAACACUCCCAGACAGUAGAAAGGGUAUAUGCUGGAGGGAAAGGGCUUGGCAGAUUUGAGGAACAGAAGAAAGGCCAAAAUGACUGAGGCCCACUGAAGGAGGGAGAGCGUAGGUUGGGGAGCAAAAGGAAGUAGGCAGGGGCUGAAUAAUUGGCUGUAGAAUUUGGAUUUCAUUCUCAAGGUAAUGUGGAGUCAGUCAUGGGAGGACUUGGAACAGGGUAGCAGCAUGAUUCCAUGAAUGAAUGAAUGAAUGAAUGAAGUGACUCCAGUUCUUGGUCUGCACUCACUCACUACCUGUGAAACCUUGAUGAAACUGCUCAUCUUCAAUGAAAACAUAAGAUCCAAGUAUACCUAAAUUCCUGGAAAAGACUAAAAUUUUGGACUGCAAUGAAAGGUUUUCCCCUAAGCAACACAUUGAUUUAGAAAAUGUGAAGCCUCACCUGAGAGGAUUGUAUUUUACCUAGCAUCCUUCCUUUCGUUAUUCUUGUUUGUCCUCUUUUGUCUUCUUGUUACUCUCCUUUUUCUGAUUUAUCCUUAAGACCAAGAGAAUAGAAAAGCAAUAGCAAAAUUUCUGUAUGACUUAGUUAAUAGAACACAUUCAGUUGCCCUAAAAGGCUUGAGUGUAAAAACUAUUUUAUUCAUGGCUAACCCUUUACUUAUUAGAGGAAAUCUCCCCUCCCAUAGAAACUACAUCCCCUUUGACACAAAAAGGGCUGAUUCCAGGCCUGGAGAUUAGAAAUAAUUGAGAGAGAGUCCCCAUCUAGGGAUAGCACAAGACAGAUAAACAAUUGUUUCUGUGAUUCGAGUGACUACAAGUCAGGGACUUGGGUUUUAGUCCAGACUAAACCAAGGCACUGUCUGUCCUUGGGCGAACGCUGACUAAAUUCUUCUCCGCACUUUCAUCCUUACCUGAGGAUGUUAACAUUUGCCUCCUUAAAGUUGCACAAUAGCACUGCUUAGAAAAUUAUGUGCCCUGUGCUUUCCAGAAUUGUUUAGAAACACACUACAGACACCUCCCUUUUCAUGUUCAGUGUAUUUAUGAAGAUCUUGGCCCACAGUGAAAUAUUGUAAGGCAUAAUACUAAUUGCUUCUUCAUGGCUGCCUGCCUCUCUUCAGACUCCAGCAGAAGUGUUGGAAGAAGCAAGCGCACAAUGAGGAGGAAGCGCAGGUCUCUCAUAGGCAUCAUCAAUGGAGCAGAGAGAUGGCUGACAUCAAAGCAAGAAAACGUGCAGGAUGCCUUCAGAGACAUUAUGCCACAAAAUAUGAAUAUGAGUCAUGGGCAUUCUCUUUGAGAACUUAAUGAGAUGAUGGAUAUUAAAUAGUUUCAAAUAUAGGCAUUUCAAUAUGAAAUUAAAGACAAGAGUGUAAAACUUGUAAACUGCUCUGUACUGAAAGGUGAUUUCACAAUUGUCUCUUUUUGGGGUAGUCAGAAGAGGGUGAUCGCUCAGUUGGCCUUAUACAACAUCAACAAAAUAGGAGGCAUUUUUUUUCAGUGAGGAAUUGAGGAAAGAUGAUUCAUAAAAUUUAAUGUAUUGAACUGGUUAUUUGGGAAUAAUUUGUUUUCUUGGAAGAGAAUCUUUUCCUUUAUUUUCUCUUAAAAUUAUGUCUAUUUGCCCUCUCAAGGACACAGCACUCAGUUGUCUAGGCUGUGUGGUAAGAGCACUUCAGACUGAGCUGAAACAUUCAGCCUUGCUUUUCCUCAUUAAUGCUGACUGCUAUGAUUUACUGCUGCUGUGUUGACUUAGUACUCACUCUUUAGCCAACAGGAAAUGACACAACUGUGUGAGCACUGAAUAAUAAGUCAUUUUGAAAUUGAUCAUCCCUUUCUCUGUUUAUAGUAAAUUUGACAAAUAGUCCGUUGCAUUCUUUAGAAACCCAGACCACAUGAUUUUGGUUCUGUGUAUUAUAGGGCACAAAUAACCCUUUCCAACUGCCCCUCUCAAAUUUCAGCAUCUGUAAUGCCUGAUGCCAUUUGUUUAUAAUUCAGUAUUUCCUAGGUAAAGAAAACAGAUGAACAAAAAUACAAAACUAUCAGACCCAUUGAUUAUCUACUAAACACCCAAUUAUGCUUUAUGUCAAUUUGUCAAUGAAAUAUGAAAAAUAUUUAAGGAAUUGCCCUAAGAAAACCCUUUUAAGGAUGAGUUCUUUAUACAUUAUUUUCCUGAAGCAUGUAGUACAUUUCAAAGACACACCAUUUCCAAUAUUUUAGGAGCAUAAAAGGAAAACAGAUCAUAAUUGAGCAGCAAUUAGGCCUUCAUUUGGAGACUGCCAGAGCUUCACUGCCAAGCUGAUGAGAUGUACUGAGCUGAGUUCUUCAUGGUUAUGUGCAUAGUCAAGUGGCAUUUCUUUUUCUUUUUCUUUUUUUUUUUUUUGACAAUCUUGCUCUGUCACCAGGUGCCAGGCUAGAGUGCAGUGGCACCAUCUCAACUCACUGCAACCUCCGCCUCCCGGGUUCAAGCAAUUCUCCUGCCUCAGCCUCCCAAGUAGCUGGGACUACAGGUACAUGCCACCACAUCCAGCUAAUUUUUGUAUUUUAGUAGAGACAGGGUUUCACCCUGGUGGCCAACAUGGUCUCAAUCUCUUGACCUUGUGAUUCUCCUGUCUCGGUCUCCCGAAGUGCUGGGAUUACAGACGUGAGCCACUGCGCCUGGCCUGAAUAUUUUAAUCUAAGACUUAAAAGAGAGAUUUAGGCAGGGCAUGGUGGCUCACGCCUGUAAUCCCAGCACUUUGGGAGGCCAAGGUGGGCAGAUCAUGAGGUCAGGAGAUCGAGACCACCCUGGCCAUAGCGAAACCCUGUCUCUACUAAAAUACAAAAAAUUAGCUGGGUGUAGUGGCGUGCGCCUGUAGACCCAGCUAUUCAGGAGGCUGAGGCAGGGGAAUGGCUUGAAUCUCGGAGUCGGAGGUUGUAAUGAGCCAAGAUCAUGCCACUGCACUCCAGCCUGGCAAAAGAGCAAGACUCCAUCUCAAAAAAGAGAGAGAGAGAGAGAGAUUGAAAGAUGUCCUAUCAAGUUUCUGGAAAAAUCCUACGUGAAAAAUUUUGCCCCUCUAUUGAAAUACUCACCACCAACAACAAAUGUGAAAACCUAGUUGAGCUCAGAGUUAGUUUAAUAAAAUUUUUUUAAAUGUAGUAAUUAUUUGAAAAGAAAUGAUUGGUAGCCACUUUUAUUAUUAUUGAAUCAAAAUGAGGAAACAGAAAACAAUGGCUAGGACGUCUUGAAGAGAGUCAUUAUCCCACGCAAAGGCAAAGGCAAAGGCAGAGAGUAGAUUUUAAAGCAUUUAACCCAACGUGUUCUGUAGAUGAGUAGUAAUCAAAUAUGUCUGAGCCACGGGCUACUAAUUUGGAAGGCAAAGCUAACCAGCCAACAAAUAAAAAAUACACAGAUGUUCUCUAGGCCACUGUACCCAGGAUGAGAGGGGAGAUUGCAAAAAUUUUGAUGGCAAAUCUCUAAAGAGUUUGUACUCUGUCUGUCAUAUUUGUCUAAAAGCCAAGUGCCAUAGAUGGGGUUUUAUUAUAACUUAAAUCCUGAGUAACUUGUGAACAAAGGUUAUAAUGGCUCACUAGUGUUUUCUGGCUCUGAAUUUGAAGACCACUGCUGUAGACCAGUUUAUUAUUCUUUUGGUGGGCAGAGGGUGAUGUUUCCUUUUGACACAACUGAUUUGACUUCAGCUGAGCUAAUUCAGUAAUUCAGAUCAUAAUUUCAAGUAAAUCGGUAGCAGCCAACUGCACUUACCAAUUAGUUUAUGGCUUACCUGAUAAAGAUACUAGAAAUACAACAGUAUUGAUUCUUUUUGUCACAGAAAUGGGAAAAAAUUAUUUCUUUUCUUUUAAUUAUUAAAAUACUUUAUGUUUUUAUUUUAAAGGAUCUAGUUAAAUUUUCUUUAUAUCCUGGCUAUAUAUUAAAACCCCAAAUCUUAUUCUUUCCCUUGAAGGACACCAGUCUGGGGGAAGAGGGCAUCAUGGAAAAUAUACCCGAAUGCUCAAAAUCACACUCAAGAGUAUCUAAGAGUUUUGAUCCAGGCUGGGGUAUAGUAGCACCAUCUUGGCUCACUGCAACUUCUGCCUCCUGGGUUCAAGCAAUUCUCCUGCCUCAACCUCCUGAGUAGCUGGGAUUACAGGCACGUACCACCACACCCAGCUAAUUUUUGUAUUUUUAUAAAGACUAGGUUUCACCAUGUUGGCCAGGCUGGCCUUGAACUCCUUACCUACUGAGGUCCAUGCCUCUCGGCUUCUCAAAAUGCUGGGAUUACCAGCAUGAGCCACCAUACCUAGCCCAAUAUUGUAUUAAGAUAAGCAGGAUUUGGUCAUGAUGUAUCAUCCUUUUAAUAUACUGCAGGAAUUUCAUUACUAAUAAAUACUUUGUUAAGGAUUUUUUCUUUGUAUUUUAAUGGGAAAUAUUUCCUUGUAAAUUCUUUUGUAAGAAUUUACAGAAGAAUCCCUUUUCAGAUUUUGGUAUUAGGGUUAUAUGGCCUCAUAAAACGAAUUGAGAUGUGUGUGCUGUCCACCAUCACCAUCAGACCCCUGCCCAUCAUCUACUUUCUAGAAAAGUUUGUGUAAGAUUGAUUUUUGUUUCUUUUUUCUUAAAUGUUUGCUAGAAUUCACUCCCAAAGGCAUCUGGCCCAGAAGUUUUUUGUUGUAGGAAGGUUAUUAAUUACAAGUUAAAUUUUAAAAAUAUGUACAGAUUACACAUACCUUCUUUUAUCACUUUGGAAAUUAUAUUUUUCAAGGCAUCUGCCAUUUUCAUCUAUGUUAUCAAAAUCAUUGGCAUAGAGCUGUUCAUAAUACAUUUUUUAAACAUUAUCCUUCUAAUGUCUGCAGAAUCUGUGGUGAUAGUUCCUCUUCUAUUCUUGACUUGGAAAUUUUGUGAUUUCCUUAUAUUUUUCUUAACCUCGCUAGAGGAUUAUUAAUUUUAUUAACUUUUUGAAAAAACUUAAUUUGUUGAUUUUUGUAUUGUUUGAGAUUUAUU